rnacentral:rRNA from 1 species
GAUGAACGCUGGCGGCGUGCCUAAUACAUGCAAGUCGAGCGAACAGACGAGGCGCUUGCUCCUCUGACGUUAGCGGCGGGCGGGUGAGUAACGCGUGGAUAACCUACCUAUAAGACUGGGAUAACUUCGGGAAACCGGAGCUAAUCCCGGAUAAUCUCUUGAACCGCAUGGUUCAAUAGUGAAAGACGGUUUUGCUGUCACUUAUAGAUGGAUCCGCGCCGCAUUAGCUAGUUGGUAAGUUAACGGCUUACCAAGGCAACGAUGCGUAGCCGACCUGAGAGGGUGAUCGGCCACCCUGGAACUGAGACGCGGUCCAGGCUCCUACGGGAGGCAGCAGUAGGGAAUCGUCCGCAAUGGGCGAAAGCCUGACGGAGCAACGCCGCGUGAGUGAUGAAGGUCUUCGGAGCGGAAAACUCUGUUAUGAGGGAAGAACAAAUGUGUAAGUAACUAUGCACGUCUUGACGGUACCUAAUCAGAAAGCCACGGCUAACUACGUG